GCUCCAAUAGCGUAUAUUUAAGUUGUUGCAGUUAAAAAGCUCGUAGUUGGAUUUCGGGUGGGUGAUAGCGGUCCGCCUAUGGUGAGUACUGCUGUGGCCUACCUUUCUGCCGGGGACGUGCUCCUGGGCUUAAUUGUCCGGGACAUGGAAUCGGCGUUGUUACUUUGAGUAAAUUAGAGUGUUCAAAGCAAGCCUACGCU
rnacentral:rRNA from 1 species